rnacentral:tRNA from 2 species
GGGAUCAUAGCUCAACUGGAUAGAGCAACUGCCUUCUAAGCAGUAGGUCGCCCGUUCGAGUCGGGCUGGUCCCA